AACAUUUAGCCUAAUUUAUUUUGCUCAGUUUCCUUUCCUUCUCUGCUGAAGCCAAUAAAAUGAUAACAAUUCACUUUGAGAGCUAAUACUGGCAUACGGAUGAACUGCUGAAUGAUCCAGAAGAAAUCUGACAUUUUUCCUUGUUCUCAAGAACAUACAGAAGUUUGCACAAAAAUGGCUUUAAGGACAUUAAUGUCAUGGUAGAUAUCGUGCUUCACUGUUUCACCCAAAGUUGAAACCUUUCAAAAACAUGAAUGAUGGGAAAAUGCAUGGAAAUACAAAUGCUCUGGAAAGGUAGCAGUAAGGUAGUAGAAUGCAUAUAACUGCUCUUAUUGCUAUCUUAGAAUUUCUACUGACGCUUUUCUAAUUCUAGUAAUUUUUGCAUAGAAUCAUUGGAUGCAGGCUUACAUUUAUUGUUGAUAUAACUCAGUGUUCCAAAACUUAAAAAAUAUUAUGGAUUGUUUUUUAUUAUGAGUUAAAACUAUGGUUCAACUAAAUUAACAUUAAAAAAAGGCUUAGCUUUUUUGUCUCUGCACUUUUCACCUGCAACAAAUUUUAUCAAUUUUCUUGCAUUAACACUUGGAAGAUUCUUAAUUCACUUCCAACUGGCAAUAUGUCAAAGCAAUCCUUUGUGUAAACUGUGCCAUUAAUUAAUAGCUUGCAUUAAUUAAAGUAAAUUCAAUCAUGGGGGCAUGCUGGCAGUGUUAAAGUUAAUGACCCAAGAUAUUAUUACUUAAUGCACUUUUGAAGUUCAUUCAAUGGAGAUUUUAAAUAGGAAUUAGGAAUUAGAUUGAGUAAUACAAUAAUAAAGCAAUUUUGUUCACUGUGGAAUGGCCCUGA
rnacentral:lncRNA from 1 species